GACGGAGGUUGCAAGCGUUAUCCGGAAUGAUUGGGCGUAAAGCGUCCGCAGGCGGCCGUUCAAGUCUGCUGUCAAAGACCGGGGCUUAACUUCGGAAAGGCAGUGGAAACUGAACAGCUAGAGUAUGGUAGGGGCAGAGGGAAUUCCUGGUGUAGCGGUGAAAUGCGUAGAUAUCAGGAAGAACAUCGGUGGCGAAGGCGCUCUGCUGGACCAUAACUGACACUCAGGGACGAAAGCUAGGGGAGCGAAUGGG
rnacentral:rRNA from 1 species